rnacentral:rRNA from 1 species
UGGGGAAUAUUGCACAAUGGGCGAAAGCCUGAUGCAGCAACGCCGCGUGAGUGAUGAAGGCCUUCGGGUUGUAAAGCUCUGUCUUUUGGGACGAUAAUGACGGUACCAAAGGAGGAAGCCACGGCUAACUACGUGCCAGCAGCCGCGGUAAUACGUAGGUGGCAAGCGUUGUCCGGAUUUACUGGGCGUAAAGGAUGCGUAGGCGGAUUUUUAAGUGAGAUGUGAAAACCCUAAGCUUAACUUGGGGACUGCAUUUCAUACUGGAAAUCUAGAGUGCGGGAGAGGAGAAUGGAAUUCCUAGUGUAGCGGUGAAAUGCGUAGAGAUUAGGAAGAACACCAGUGGCGAAGGCGAUUCUCUGGACCGUAACUGACGCUGAGGCAUGAAAGCGUGGGUAGCAAACAGGAUUAGAUACCCUGGUAGUCCACGCCGUAAACGAUGAGUACUAGGUGUAGGAGGUAUCGACCCCUUCUGUGCCGCAGUUAACACAAUAAGUACCCCGCCUGGGAAGUACGAUCGCAAGAUUAAAACUCAAAUGAAUUGACGGGGUCAUAGCUG